rnacentral:tRNA from 1 species
UCCUAUAGUGGCUCAGUUGGUAGAGCAUGAGACUGCUGAUCUCGGGGUUGUGGGUUCGAGCCCCACGUUGGGCA